rnacentral:rRNA from 1 species
UUAAAACUCAAAUGAAUUGACGGGGGCCCGCACAAGCGGUGGAGCAUGUGGUUUAAUUCGAUGCAACGCGAAGAACCUUACCUGGUCUUGACAUCCACAGAACUUUCCAGAGAUGGAUUGGUGCCUUCGGGAACUGUGAGACAGGUGCUGCAUGGCUGUCGUCAGCUCGUGUUGUGAAAUGUUGGGUUAAGUCCCGCAACGAGCGCAACCCUUAUCCUUUGUUGCCAGCGGUUCGGCCGGGAACUCAAAGGAGACUGCCAGUGAUAAACUGGAGGAAGGUGGGGAUGACGUCAAGUCAUCAUGGCCCUUACGACCAGGGCUACACACGUGCUACAAUGGCAUAUACAAAGAGAAGCGACCUCGCGAGAGCAAGCGGACCUCAUAAAGUAUGUCGUAGUCCGGAUUGGAGUCUGCAACUCGACUCCAUGAAGUCGGAAUCGCUAGUAAUCGUAGAUCA